rnacentral:rRNA from 1 species
UGACUGACCGAUAGUGAACCAGUACCGUGAGGGAAAGGCGAAAAGAACCCCGGCGAGGGGAGUGAAAAAGAACCUGAAACCGUGUACGUACAAGCAGUGGGAGCACAGGUUUACCUGUGUGACUGCGUACCUUUUGUAUAAUGGGUCAGCGACUUAUAUUCUGUAGCAAGGUUAACCGAAUAGGGGAGCCGGAGGGAAACCGAGUCUUAAUUGGGCGUUAAGUUGCAGGGUAUAGACCCGAAACCCGGUGAUCUAGCCAUGGGCAGGUUGAAGGUUGGGUAACACUAACUGGAGGACCGAACCGACUAAUGUUGAAAAAUUAGCGGAUGACCUGUGGCUGGGGGUGAAAGGCCAAUCAAACCGGGAGAUAGCUGGUUCUCCCCGAAAGCUAUUUAGGUAGCGCCUCGUGAAUUCAUCUCCGGGGGUAGAGCACUGUUUCGGCUAGGGGGCCAUCCCGGCUUACCAACCCGAUGCAAACUGCGAAUACCGGAGAAUGUUAUCACGGGAGACACACGGCGGGUGCUAACGUCCGUCGUGAAGAGGGAAACAACCCAGACCGCCAGCUAAGGUCCCAAAGUCAUGGUUAAGUGGGAAACGAUGUGGGAAGGCCCAGACAGCCAGGAUGUUGGCUUAGAAGCAGCCAUCAUUUAAAGAAAGCGUAAUAGCUCACUGGUCGAGUCGGCCUGCGCGGAAGAUGUAACGGGGCUAAACCAU